AGCCUGGCUAUGCGGCCCCCACCUGUUCCUGCUACUCGGGUGCGGCCUUCACCUGCCAGGCCCUUCCCCGCUAGCUUGGGGCAAGCAGAGUUGCAUCCAGUGGAAAUAAAGCCGUUCCAGGAUUAUUGAAAACUGAGUAGCAACCUUGGGGGUCCUGGGUCAUCACAUACUCCCCCAAAUGGAAGGUCCUUCUCUGGCAUCAAUUCCCGUCUCAAGGCCCCGCCUUCAACCUACGGUGGAGUCUUCCGCACCCAGCGCAUCGACCUUCACCAGCAGGCCUCCCCACCAGAUGUCCUCCGCUGGAUGCCUAAGCCUUGGGAGCAACAGGGCCUCCUUGAGAAGAGCCUUCCCGCCGGGCAGAGGAGCUUGGGUCCCGAGGGGACAAGGAAUCUGGGUUGCCCUCAUCCCCAGAG
rnacentral:lncRNA from 1 species